rnacentral:lncRNA from 1 species
CCUCACAUUACAUUAAUUAGUCAAUUUCUCUCCUUUUCCAUGUCAUUUCUGACUUGCAGGAGUCUUUUCCUUCCAUUUUUAGGGUUUUCUUUUCCUUCUAUUUUUGGCCAAGGUCAGAGUAAGAGUGGAAUUACUACAACUACACCUUCAGUUGAAAUGCAGUUCUCCACAUCAAUUACUCCAGAAAGUCUGAUCCAUAAGCAGCACACCCUCUUUAGGUACCAAUAGACAACUAGCUAUCCAUGAUUGGCCAAAAUAGUUCACUUUUUUUUUUAAAAAUUUUUUUUUUGACAGGGCCAAAAUAGUUCACUUAAACCUGGAAGAAAUACAUCAGAAUAGAAUG